rnacentral:lncRNA from 1 species
UGAGAGAGAAAAAGGUGAGAGGUAUUUAUAAUGGUAAGAGAGAGAAAUAGAAAAGACAGAAAAAGGUGAGAGAGGUGUCAGGAAUAACAGUGGAGAGAGAAGAAAAAUAUUGUCAUGUAAGUGUGAAAUUAACGCCGUUGCAAGCUACUUAAUGGGAGGGACCUAUUGAAAGCAAAAUCAAUAACCUGGGAACCUAAUUAAAUCACUUUUAAAA